AUUGAACGCUAGCUGUAUGCUUAACACAUGCAAGUCGAACGGCAGCGCGAGGAGCUUGCUCCUUGGCGGCGAGUGGCGGACGGGUGGAGUAACGCGUAGGAAUCUACCAAGUAGAGGGGGGACGAACUCGAGGAAACUACGGGGCUAAAUACCGCAUAAUCCCUUCGGGGGAAAGGCAGGGGGAUCUUCGGACCCUUGCGCUACUUGAUGAGCUUGCGUAGGAUCAGCUUGUUGGUGGGGUAAAGGCCUACCAAGGCGACGAUCCUUAGCUGGUCUGAGAGGAUGAUCAACCACACUGGGACUGAGACACGGCCCAG
rnacentral:rRNA from 1 species